UUCUUUUUGAAUUAAUAAAAAGUAAUUCCUGCUCAAUGAAAUAAUUAAAUAGCUGCUUUUAUUAGCACUAAGGUAGCAUAAUCAUUUGUUUAUUAAUUGUAAACUAGAAUGAAUGGAGUAAUAAUUAUUAGCUUUAUUUACUUUAUUAAUUGAAUUUUAAUUUUUAUUAAGAAUGAUAAAAUAAGAUUUAGGGACAAGAAGACCCUAUAAAGCUUUAUAUAAAAAUAAAAAUUUUAUUUUAUUUUAAUAUUUAAUUGGGGCAAUAACUUACGAAUAAAUAAUGUAAGUUUAUUAUUAAUUUAAUAAUUAAUUAAUAUGAUCCAAUUAUUAUUGAUUAUUUGAAUAAGUUACUUUAGGGAUAACAGUAUAAUUUUUGUUUGAGAGUUCUAAUUAAAAAUGAAGAUUAUAACCUCGAUGUUGAAUUAAUUUAAUUAAGGGGUGAAGAAGCUCCUUGUAAUUUGACUGUUCGUCAAUUUAAUAAUUAUA
rnacentral:rRNA from 1 species